AUACUCUGGUUUCUCUUCAGAUAGUAUAAAUCUUUCUCCUUUUACUGAAGAGUUCUGUGGAGAGGAACAACUCUAAAUCUUAAACCAAUUUUUUGAGGCAAAAAGAAGAAAGAAAU